rnacentral:tRNA from 1 species
ACUUUUUAAGUAUUAUUGUAUAGUUGCCUUCCAAGCAAACGGUCUGCCACGCAGAAAAAGUA